CCUACGGGUGGCAGCAGUGGGGGAUAUUGCACAAUGGGGGAAACCCUGAUGCAGCGACGCCGCGUGAGUGAAGAAGUAUUUCGGGAUGUAAAGCUCUAUCAGCAGGGAAGAAAAUGAGAGUACCUGACCAAGAAGCCGCGGCUAACUACGUGCCAGCAGCCGCGGGAAUACGUAGGGGGCAAGCGUUAUCCGGAUUUACUGGUUGUAAAGGGAGCGUAGACGGUUGUGUAGGUCUGGAGGGAAAGCCCGGGGCCCAACCCCGGGACUGCUGUGGAAACUGUUUAACUGGAGUACAGGAGGGGUAGGCGGAAUGCCUGGUGUAGCGGUGAAAUGCGUAGAUAUCAGGAGGAACACCGGUGGCGAAGGCGGCUUACUGGACUGAAACUGACGCUGAGGCUCGAAAGCGUGGGGAGCAAACAGGAUUAGAUACCCCAGUAGUC
rnacentral:rRNA from 1 species